GAAGGAUCAUUACCUUUUAUCGGGGAGCUGUAGUUUACUAUAUGCUCCUGUCUGGACCCAUGUCUAUUGCGUACUUAUGUUUCCUCGGCGGACUUGUUCCGCCGAUUGGACUCUUCAAAACCUUUUGUAAUUGUAAUCAGCGUCUGAGAAAUAUUUAAUAUUUACAACUUUCAACAACGGAUCUCUUGGUUCUGGCAUCGAUGAAGAACGCAGCGAAAUGCGAUAAGUAGUGUGAAUUGCAGAAUUCAGUGAAUCAUCGAAUCUUUGAACGCACAUUGCGCCCCUUGGUAUUCCAUGGGGCAUGCCUGUUCGAGCGUCAUUUGUACCCUCAAGCUCUGCUUGGUGUUGGGUGUUUGUCAUAUCCUUUGCGGUUUGACUCGCCUUAAAUUUAUUGGCAGCCGGCGUAUUGGCCUAGGAGCGCAGCACAUUUUGCGAUCGUAGCCUGUAUACUAGCAUCCAUUAAGCCUCAAUUAUCACUUUUGACCUCGGAUCAGGUAGGGAUACCCGCUGAAC
rnacentral:rRNA from 1 species